rnacentral:rRNA from 1 species
GCCAAUACUAGCCCCAAGCAUAACCAACACUAAUACCAAGCCAACAUACACUAAACCAUUCACCUACAUAAAGUAUAGGCGAUAGAAAUUUUAAUCUGGCGCUAUAGACAUAGUACCGUAAGGGAAAGAUAGAAAACCACCCAAGCACAAAACAGCAAGGACUAACUCCUGUACCUUUCGCAUAAUGAAUUAGCUAGAAACAAUUUCACAAAGAGGACUACAAGCCAAAUCCCCCGAAACCAGACGAGCUACCCAAAGACAGCUAAAAGAGCGCACCCAUCUAUGUGGCAAAAUAGUGGGAAGAUUUCUGGGUAGAGGUGACAAGCCUACCGAGCCUGGUGAUAGCUGGUUAUCCAAGACAGAAUCUUAGUUCAACCUUAAGCUUACCUAUAGAACUACCUAAUCCCCCUGUAAGCUUAACUGCUAGUCUAAAGAGGGACAGCUCUUUAGACACUAGGAAAAAACCUUACGGAGAGAGUAAAACCCUCAAUCACCAUAGUUGGCUUAAAAGCAGCCACCAAUUAAGAAAGCGUUCAAGCUCAACACUAACCACCACAAAAAUACCAAACACAUAACUGAACUCCUCACACCACAUUGGAUUAAUCUAUCACCAUAUAGAAGCAAUAAUGCUAGUAUAAGUAACAUGAAUAUUUUCUCCACUGCAUAAGCCUAAAUCAGACCGAAAGCCUCACUGAUAUCUAACAGCCAGGCAUAGCAAGCACAAACAAGCCCAUGCCACCUUCACUGUUAACCCAACACAGGCAUGCCUCAAGGAAAGGUUAAAAAAAGUAAAAGGAACUCGGCAAACUCAAACCCCGCCUGUUUACCAAAAACAUCACCUCUAGCAUUACUAGUAUUAGAGGCACUGCCUGCCCAGUGACACACGUUUAACGGCCGCGGUACCCUGAC